GGUGAGAGCUGCCUGAGGCCCAGAGAAUCAGAGUCUGUGAGGAGUCAGAGACAGGAUGCAGCAGGAGUGAGCUGACAGGAGUUGCUUAGGAGAGAGCUGAAUUUGGAAGGACAACCAUAAUUGUGACCUGCUGGAGUACACCAUCAAAGAGGGAUCUUAAAACAAGACGCCAAGCAUGACAAGGACAAGCAGCUCUCUUUGUGGAAUCUACCAUCACAGAACUUUUUUUUUCUUACCCCCAAAUAAAGAGAACAUUCACCUGUUGUUGUGAGAAAAGUUAUUAUUUCUUCAUUAGGUGAGCUUAACAUUUCCAAGGACUCUGCUUUCUGAAGAGACAGGCAGCAAUUUUGUGUCCACUGUAUGCUCUCGUUGGAGACACAUACACUCUGUGAUCUUUCUUGGAUUACUUUUGUUCUUUCUCGUUCUCUGUUCUCUUAAUCUAAAAUAAAGGUCAUCCUGCCUGAAAGGAUCUGUUUGUUCG